UACGUAGGAGGCGAGCGUUGUCCGGAAUUACUGGGCGUAAAGAGCGCGUAGGCGGCACUGUACGACCGGUGUGAAAGCCCCCGGCUCAACUGGGGAGGGUCACUGGUAACGGCAGAGCUUAUGAGUGCAGGAGAGGGAAGUGGAACUCCGGGAGUAGCGGUGAAAUGCGUAGAGAUCCGGAGGAACACCGACGGCGUAGGCAGCGCCCUAGACGAGACCUGACGCUCAGGCACGAAAGCGCGGGGAGCGAACAGG
rnacentral:rRNA from 1 species